GAUGAAGAACGUAGCGAAAUGCGAUAAGUAAUGCGAAUUGCAGAAUUCAGUGAGUCAUCGAAUCUUUGAACGCACAUUGCGCCCUGUGGUAUUCCGCAGGGCAUGCCUGUUCGAGCGUCAUUUCAACCCUCAAGCUCUGCUUGGUGUUGGGCCCUGCCCGCUGCGGCCGGCCCUAAAGACAGUGGCGGUGCCGCCUGGCCCUGAGCGUAGUACAUCUCUCGCUCCAGUGCCCGGUGGUAGCCUGCCAGAACCACAACUCUCGUGGUUGACCUCGGAUCAGGUAGGGAUACCCGCUGAACUUAAGCAUAUCAAUAAGCGGAGGA
rnacentral:misc_RNA from 1 species